UACGUAGGGUCCGAGCGUUGUCCGGAGUGACUGGGCGUAAAGCGCGCGCAGGCGGCCCUUUAGGCACGACGUGAAAGCCCCGGGCUCAACCCGGGAGGGUCGUCGUGAACCGGGGGGCUUGAGGCCGGUAGAGGUGGGUGGAACUCCUGGUGGAGUGGUGAAAUGCGUAGAGAUCAGGAAGAACACCCGUGGCGAAGGCGGCCCCACUGGGCCGGUACUGACGCUGAGGCGCGAAGGCGUGGGGAGCGAACGGG
rnacentral:rRNA from 1 species